rnacentral:rRNA from 1 species
GGCUUAGAGUUUGAUCAUGGCUCAGGACGAACGCUGGCGGCGUGCUUAACACAUGCAAGUCGAACGGGGUGUUUAUUUCGGUAAACACCAAGUGGCGAACGGGUGAGUAACGCGUAAGCAAUCUACCUUCAAGAUGGGGACAACACUUCGAAAGGGGUGCUAAUACCGAAUGAAUGAGAGAUGACCGCAUGGAUAUUUCUCUAAAGGAGGCCUCUGAAAAUGCUUCCGCUUGAAGAUGAGCUUGCGUCUGAUUAGCUAGUUGGUGAGGGUAAAGGCCCACCAAGGCGACGAUCAGUAGCCGGUCUGAGAGGAUGAACGGCCACAUUGGGACUGAGACACAGCCCAGACUCCUACGGGAGGCAGCAGUGGGGAAUCUUCCGCAAUGGGCGAAAGCCUGACGGAGCAACGCCGCGUGAAUGAAGAAGGUCUUAGGAUCGUAAAGUUCUGUUGUUAGGGGCGAAGGGCAACAUUUUGAAUAAGGGUGUUGUUUGACGGUACUUAACGAGGAAGCCACGGCUAACUACGUGCCAGCAGCCGCGGUAAUACGUAGGCGGCAAGCGUUGUCCGGAAUUAUUGGGCGUAAAGGGAGCGCAGGCGGGAAGUUAAGCGGACUUUAAAAGUGCGGGGCUCAACCCCGUGAGGGGGUCCGAACUGACUUUCUUGAGUGCAGGAGAGGGAAGCGGAAUUCCCAGUGUAGCGGUGAAAUGCGUAGAUAUUAGGAAGAACACCAGUGGCGAAAGCGGCUUUCUGGACCGUAACUGACGCUGAGGCUCGAAAGCUAGGGUAGCGAACGGGAUUAGAUACCCCGGUAGUCCUAGCCGUAACGAUGGAUACUAGUGUGGGAGUAUCGACCCUUCCGUGCNGAGUAACG